CAGCCGCCGCGGUAAUACAGAGGGUGCGAGCGUUAAUCGGAUUUACUGGGCGUAAAGCGUGCGUAGGCGGCUUCUUAAGUCGGAUGUGAAAUCCCUGAGCUUAACUUAGGAAUUGUAUUCGAUACUGGGAAGCUAGAGUAUGGGAGAGGAUGGUAGAAUUCCAGGUGUAGCGGUGAAAUGCGUAGAGAUCUGGAGGAAUACCGAUGGCGAAGGCAGCCAUCUGGCCUAAUACUGACGCUGAGGUACGAAAGCAUGGGGAGCAAACAGGAUUAGAUACCCCAGUAGUCCCUGUCUCUUAUAC
rnacentral:rRNA from 1 species